rnacentral:lncRNA from 1 species
UGAUGAAUGUCUUUGGCCUGUAGUGCAAAGAUGAAUGAUUACCUGAUGAAUAUCUUUGGUCCGUAGUGCAAAGAUGAACAGGUGUUGAGAUGAACAUGACCAACUGGUAAUACAGAUGGAUAUCUUUGGCCCGUAGUGCAAAGAUGAAUAUUUGAUGCAAGAUGUGUAUUGAUUGAUGUUACAGGGAUAGAAUAUUGAUGAUGGAC